GUUCACUAGAGUAUAAAAUUCACAUUUGGCCAAGACUGACUGUGCAAUCUGAUAUUAUGAGCACCGCCAGCGCCGAGAAAGCGAGGGCUGAAGGGAGAAAAAAAAGGACGACGCAAGUCUUUGUGUCGUUUACUGGCAGCAGAAGUAGCGCACAGGUAGAACAAACGCACAGAAAGAAUGGUUUUAGCAUCCUGGAAACAAACUAAGUGUUGUCGUGGUUGCAUCAAAAACCACCAAGGUGACUGAAAGGUAACACGAAGGAGAGGAAGAGCCGCAGAGAUGACGACAUGGAAGGUACUCUGCGGCUGCAGGGAUCAUUUGAAGUAGUCGACUGCAUUGGGCGGCCAUGAUGAACUCCACAUGAACCCGGGCUCGCAUCUUUAGGAGAUCAGGACAUGUGACGUGAUGAGGCCAGCGCUCCAAAUGCACUAAAUCCAUGUUUGGAAGCAUCGUUGUUGCUACGCAGACUUAAUGAUCAUCUCGUGAAUAUUAAGACCACACUGACAUGGACCCCAACGAUGGAGAAGGAACAGCCAGCAACCGCCCCGCCGAGUCCCCCCCCUGAGGUAGGGGAAAAAAAUAAAAAAUAAAAUUAAUAAAAUAUAUUAAAAAAAUAAAAAUAAAUAAAUAAUUAAAUAUAUUUUUAAAAAAGAAUUAAAAGAAGAUCACAGACAUGCUGACACACAAGGUCACUACCCCAACAACUGGCUGACUCGCAGCACCUCGGAAAACCUUGCAGCACCAAGCUACCACAGUAGACGCAGGGACUUGACCCAGCAGGCCCCAACCAAGACGGGCACCCGGAAGGGAUGGACGGUGGGACCCAGGAGCUCCAGACACGCUGUCCGGAUGCAGUAGCCUGAGGCGCCGACCCCCACCUGACAAGCAGGCCCAGAACGUACCCCCAGAAAUAUACAUACAUAUCUAUAUACAUACACAUACACAUGUACACAUACACACACAUACACAUAUAUACAUAUACAUACACAUAUAUACACAUACACAUAAAUAUACAUACAUACAUACAUACAUACACAUACACACACAUAUACAUACAUAUACACAGCUUGUCAGCCCCGACAACCACCACGCGCGCGCGCUGCCACCAGUCACAACAUCAGCCACCCCCCUGCACCAGACCCAGCAGCCACGGGCGCCCACACCACAAACAAAUGGCAGCAGAAACAGCAGCCGCAAUACCCCCAGACAGCCAGCACCACCCAAUCAAAUUAAAGCGAUCAAAAAAAAAAAAACUGCGACCGGCAACCACACGCCAACAGGAUCACGGAGACCAGCCAGCGCCAGCCCGCCAGCCAGCCCAAACGCCAACACGCAAACAAGAGACACCAACACCCA